AUACGUAGGUGGCGGGCGUUGUCCGGAAUUACUGGGCGUAAAGGGCGCGUAGGCGGCCUGUUAAGUCAGAUGUGAAACCCCCAGGCUCAACUUGGGGAUUGCAUAUGAAACUGAUGGGCUCGAGUGUCGGAGAGGAAAGCGGAAUUCCUAGUGUAGCGGUGAAAUGCGUAGAUAUUAGGAGGAACACCAGUGGCGAAGGCGGCUUUCUGGACGAUAACUGACGCUGAGGCGCGAAAGCGUGGGGAGCAAACAGGAUUAGAUACCCUGGUAGUCCACGCUGUAAACUAUGGAUACUAGGUGUGGGAGGUAUCGACCCCUUCCGUGCCGCAGUAAACGCAAUAAGUAUCCCGCCUGGGGAGUACGGCCGCAAGGUUGAAACUCAAAUGAAUUGACGGGG
rnacentral:rRNA from 1 species